rnacentral:rRNA from 1 species
UACGAAGGGGGCUAGCGUUGCUCGGAAUUAUUGGGCGUAAAGGGUGCGUAGGCGGUUUGGUAAGUCUUGUGUGAAAUCUCCAGGCUCAACUUGGAGUCUGCACGAGAAACUGCCGGGCUUGAGUGUGGGAGAGGUGAGUGGAAUUCCUGGUGUAGCGGUGAAAUGCGUAGAUAUCCGGAAGAACACCAGUGGCGAAGGCGGCCCGCUGGGCAGUGGCUGACGCUGAGGCGCGACAGCGUGGGGAGCAAACAGG